rnacentral:tRNA from 1 species
GGGGUUGUAGGGUAGCCUGGUCCAUCCUAUGUCGUUCGGGACGCCGUGACCUGAGUUCAAAUCUCAGCAACCCCA